AGAGUUUGAUCCUGGCUCAGAUUGAACGCUGGCGGCAUGCCUUACACAUGCAAGUCGAACGCGAAAGGGGGAGCAAUCCCCCCGGUAGAGUGGCGAACGGGUGAGUAAUACAUCGGAACGUAUCCUGUAGCGGGGGAUAACCUCUCGAAAGAGAGGCUAAUACCGCAUACGACCUACGGGUGAAAGAGGGGGAUCGCAAGACCUCUCACUAUUGGAGCGGCCGAUGUCGGAUUAGCUAGUUGGCGGGGUAAAAGCCCACCAAGGCGACGAUCCGUAGCUGGUCUGAGAGGACGACCAGCCACACUGGAACUGAGACACGGUCCAGACUCCUACGGGAGGCAGCAGUGGGGAAUUUUGGACAAUGGGCGCAAGCCUGAUCCAGCCAUGCCGCGUGGGUGAAGAAGGCCUUCGGGUUGUAAAGCCCUUUCGGCUGGGACGAAAAGGUCCGUGUUAACACCACGGAUCCAUGACGGUACCAGCAGAAGAAGCACCGGCUAACUACGUGCCAGCAGCCGCGGUAAUACGUAGGGUGCAGGCGUUAAUCGGAAUUACUGGGCGUAAAGCGUGCGCAGGCGGUCGUGCAAGACAGAUGUGAAAUCCCCGGGCUUAACCUGGGAACUGCAUUUGUGACUGCACGGCUGGAGUGCGGCAGAGGGGGAUGGAAUUCCGCGUGUAGCAGUGAAAUGCGUAGAUAUGCGGAGGAACACCGAUGGCGAAGGCAAUCCCCUGGGCCUGCACUGACGCUCAUGCACGAAAGCGUGGGGGAGCAAACAGGAUUAGAUACCCUGUUAGUCCACGCCCUAAACGAUGUCAACUGGUUGUUGGACGGCUUGCUGUUCAGUAACGAAGCUAACGCGUGAAGUUGACCGCCUGGGGAGUACGGCCGCAGGUUGAAACUCAAAGGAAUUGACGGGGACCCGCACAAGCGGUGAAUGA
rnacentral:rRNA from 1 species